CGUCAUCAUCAAUCAACUCUAACAGAUCAGAAAACAGAAACCCUAAUCCAACAAUUUCCGAGUUCAGAGACAUCCAAGAAGUAGAAGAAGAAGAAGAAGAAAAGAGAUUUUGAGCUCGCUUGAGGGAGAGAAUAAGAGAAGAGAUAGGAAAAAAUGGGAAAGAAGAAGAAGAGAGUAUCUUCAAAAGUGUGGUGCUAUUACUGCGAUCGGGAAUUUGAUGACGAGAAGAUUCUAGUUCAGCAUCAAAAGGCCAAGCACUUCAAGUGCCAUGUCUGUCACAAAAAGCUCUCCACUGCUGGUGGAAUGGCCAUCCAUGUCCUCCAGGUUCACAAAGAGAGCGUCACCAAGGUUCCCAAUGCAAAACCUGGAAGAGAAUCAACUGAUAUUGAAAUAUAUGGAAUGCAAGGGAUCCCACCUGAUAUCUUGGCUGCACACUAUGGAGAAGAAGAAGAAGAGGCUCCAUCAAAAGUUGCCAAAGUGGAUGGUCCAUCUGUUNNNNNNNNNNGGUGUAGUGCCAGGAUCAUUGGGUGUUGGAUAUCCUCCACAAACUUUAGGUGCAAUACAGCCAAUUUACAAUUCAGCUGUCCCCGUCCCUCCUGCUGGCUGGCCAGUUCCUUCUCGUCCACAGCCAUGGUUCCCACAACCUCCUGCAGUUUCAAUUCCACCUCCUGCUCCAGUUGGAUAUGCACAGCAGCCAUUGUUCCCAGUGCAAAAUGCAAGGCCCCCUCUGCCCUCAUCUACAGCUCCUGCACUCCAACCUGCACAAGUGGCUCCUCCUGGACUGCCUUCAUCUGCAACACCCAUUCCUGUAUCACAACCAUUAUUUCCUGUUGUUAACAAUAAUUUGCCUCAAAGUUCACCAUUUUCUGCUCCUUUACCUUCAUCAAAUAUUCCAUCAAGCUCCCCUGCAGAAGUUAAAGGUUCUGUGGGUGUGCAUUCAGGAGCUAACAGUUCUCUGACAAAUAGCCACCAUACAAGUAUUCUAGGUGGGACAUUAGCCAAUUCACAUUCGUAUGCCUCUGGUCCAAAUACUGGUGGUCCUUCUAUUGGACCACCCCCUGUAAUCGCUAACAAAGCUCCUGUGACCCAGCCGGCUGUUAAUGAGGUCUAUUUAAUUUGGGAUGACGAGGCAAUGUCCAUGGAGGAAAGAAGAAUGUCCUUAGCAAGGUAUCAGGUGCAUGAUGAAACUAGCCAGAUGAGUUCAAUCGAUGCAGCCAUUGA
rnacentral:misc_RNA from 1 species